GCCUUCGGCCUUGAAUUGUAGUCUCCAGAUGCAUCGCCAAUGGAGGCGCAGAUGUAAGCCUCUUGGAAAAGAGCAUCAACGAGGGUGAGAGUCCCGCUUGUCAUCUGCAGUCCCCCAUGCACGGCGUGCCUUCUAAGAGUCGCGUUCCUCGGAAUUGGAGCGUAAAUUGGGUGGUAAAUUUCAUCUCAAGCUAAAUAUUGGUUCGAGACCGAUAGCAAACAAGUACCAUGAGGGAAAGGUGAAAAGGACUUUGAAAAGAGAGUUAAAAGUGCCUGAAAUUGCUGAAAGGGAAGCGAAUGGAACCAGUGUUGCUUGGCGAGAUUGUCAUACGCAUUCGCGUGUGGUGGUUCUUGCCUUGUGUGUCAACGCCAGUUCGUGAUCGAGGAAAACUCUAGGGACAUGGUAGCUUGCCUCUGGGUGGGCGAAUGUGCCUGGUAGAACUCAUUUGCGGACUGAUUCAUUUGUGUCUGGUUGCAGUGCUUGUUGUCAUUUCGACGUGCUGGUGAUAGGGGCUCGCUCCUUGAUCUGUGCGCUCGGGUGACUGGGCAUUUCCCUGACAUAUAGACGAUGACUAAAUGGUUCUAUUCGACCCGUCUUGAAACACGGACCAAGGAGUCUAACAUAUGUGCGAGUCCACGGGUGGUAAACCUGCUGGCGCAGUGAAAGCGACUGCUGGGAUUUUUGCACCAGCAACCGACCAAUCAAUUGAGAGAGGUUUGAGUAUGAGCAUAUCUGUUAGGACCCGAAAGAUGGUGAACUAUGCCUGAGAAGGGCAAACUCAGGGGAAACUCUGAUGGAGGCUCGUAGCGAUACUGACG
rnacentral:rRNA from 1 species